rnacentral:lncRNA from 1 species
UAACAUUAGAAUGUUUAAAAUCAUAAUUUGGGCAAUCGAAAUUUCGAAAUUAUUAAGUCAGUUCAAAAGUGAAAAUAAUCGAAAAACUUAGGCAUCACUGCUGCCGCUGUUGCCAUUGCAAUCUUUAUUAAAAAGCAGACGAUCACUUCACGAGGACGGUCAGCUGGCGAACGUGAACGUUUCGAAAGUUAAAUCUACAUAGCUAUUCCCUACUCAGCAAUUAUGAACAAGGUGUAAGAGAAGCAGUUGUUACAACCACGUACGUCGUAUCCUUAUCAGGCAGCUGACGGGGAACUGUAGGUGAAGAUUUUGAUCAAUCAAGCCUGUCACCACUCCACAGGGGACAUCCAAAUUGCAGCUGUUUUACCAUUCGCCUUGUCUUCGCACUUGUUCUCCACCAGCUCUUUGCCUUCCCACUCUUUACUUCUGCCCGAUAGGAUCUUAGGCAGGAAAGACAAGUCGACCUUCCGUUUGCUUAUUAGUGGAUCCGGCGAUUUUUUCAUCACCUCUUCCCUCAGAGUCCUCGUGUACGUUCAUGUGAAUGUGAACGUAUUCACGGGGACGUCCUUAUUCAUCGAAUGAACCGCAAGAAUCCUCCUUCAUCGAGUCUUCACACUUCUUUUUCGUUCUUUCCAGUCAAGGACUUUGGUCGCCUUCUGACGGAAGCUGUGCAAGCCUGACAUGUUGACAUGGAUGCUGCAACAACCUGGAUUGACCCGUUUAUCGAACUGCAUCAACAUUACACAAUUCGACUGAGACUGAUGUGGUCGACCUUCCGUUUGCUUAUUAGUGGAUCCGGCGAUUUUUUCAUCACCUCUUCCCUCAGAGUCCUCGUGUACGUUCAUGUGAAUGUGAACGUAUUCACGGGGACGUCCUUAUUCAUCGAAUGAACCGCAAGAAUCCUCCUUCAUCGAGUCUUCACACUUCUUUUUCGUUCUUUCCAGUCAAGGACUUUGGCCGCCUUCUGAAGGAAGCUGUGCAAGCCUGACAUAGUGACAUGGAUGCUGCAACAACCUGGAUUGACCCGUUUAUCGAACUGCAUCAACAUUACACAAUUCGACUGAGACUGACGUGGUAAGUCACGCCCAAUUGGAUUCACUUUUUUGAUCAUGUAGAUUUCGAAGCCGAUGGCCAGUUAGUUCAAAGACUAUACUUGAUGUUAUCAAUAUUGUUUUGAAUUUGGACUGUGAUUGACGUGUUAGGGUUUGAUUUGCCGAAUAAUUGCUCGAGAAUUCCAAUCAUUUUUUCUCUGUACCGACACCGUCGUUGUAUUUUAGCAAUUCAAUUCUUUUAUAAGACGCUAAACUAUUGAUAAGGUAUAGUGAGUGAAACACAGACAUGGUCCACUAUGCUGCAACAAUUGUGAUUGGGAAUGAUCUUGCUGGUCAGUCGAG